AUGGAACCUUUGUGACAGCCAGAGAGUUUAAAUUAGAAAGAGCAGGAAAUCUGUCCGCACUUGCUUCAAUGUCAGAGCUGACAAUUACACUGUAAUCACAGAUUAUUUGGAUAUAAGUCGCUUCAAAUCCUUCUUUGUAUAUUAUAUAUUUCAUCAGGUGUUGCUGUUCGGCAAACAUGAGAACAGAAGUCUCUACAGCUGCUAAUUUUGUUAGCAGUCUGGUCAGGAUGACUGGCCUUCUUACUGAAGAUCAACUUAAUCACUUAAACUUUUCCCUGCAGAAGACGCUACUUGAGUACUACGAGCAACACUGGUUUCCCAAAGACCCUUGCAGAGGGUCAGGCUACAGAUGCUUGCGCAUCAACCACAAAAUGGACCCUUUGAUAGGCAAAGCUGCCAGGGCCGUUGGCAUUACACAGGAGGAAAUCUUUUCCCUGCUUCCAUGUGAGCUAACACUGUGGGUGGACCCGAAUGAAGUGUCAUAUCGGAUUGGUGAAAAUGGAUCCAGUUGUGUUCUUUAUGCGUCCUGAUCACCUGCCAUAUCUUACAACACUGCAAACAUUCAAGAAGCCAGCUGUAAGGGAAAUCUAUGCCCUGAACAAUCAAUUCUUCAGAGUUCUUCAAUAUGAUGAAGUAUUUUCCACGUUAUUCUA